GGUUAAGCGACUAAGCGUACACGGUGGAUGCCCUGGCAGUCAGAGGCGAUGAAGGACGUGCUAAUCUGCGAUAAGCGUCGGUAAGGUGAUAUGAACCGUUAUAACCGGCGAUUUCCGAAUGGGGAAACCCAGUGUGUUUCGACACACUAUCAUUAACUGAAUCCAUAGGUUAAUGAGGCGAACCGGGGGAACUGAAACAUCUAAGUACCCCGAGGAAAAGAAAUCAACCGAGAUUCCCCCAGUAGCGGCGAGCGAACGGGGAGCAGCCCAGAGCCUGAAUCAGUGUGUGUGUUAGUGGAAGCGUCUGGAAAGGCGCGCGAUACAGGGUGACAGCCCCGUACACAAAAAUGCACAUACUGUGAGCUCGAUGAGUAGGGCGGGACACGUGGUAUCCUGUCUGAAUAUGGGGGGACCAUCCUCCAAGGCUAAAUACUCCUGACUGACCGAUAGUGAACCAGUACCGUGAGGGAAAGGCGAAAAGAACCCCGGCGAGGGGAGUGAAAAAGAACCUGAAACCGUGUACGUACAAGCAGUGGGAGCCUCUUUUAUGGGGUGACUGCGUACCUUUUGUAUAAUGGGUCAGCGACUUAUAUUCUGUAGCAAGGUUAACCGAAUAGGGGAGCCGAAGGGAAACCGAGUCUUAACCGGGCGUUAAGUUGCAGGGUAUAGACCCGAAACCCGGUGAUCUAGCCAUGGGCAGGUUGAAGGUUGGGUAACACUAACUGGAGGACCGAACCGACUAAUGUUGAAAAAUUAGCGGAUGACUUGUGGCUGGGGGUGAAAGGCCAAUCAAACCGGGAGAUAGCUGGUUCUCCCCGAAAGCUAUUUAGGUAGCGCCUCGUGAAUUCAUCUCCGGGGGUAGAGCACUGUUUCGGCAAGGGGGUCAUCCCGACUUACCAACCCGAUGCAAACUGCGAAUACCGGAGAAUGUUAUCACGGGAGACACACGGCGGGUGCUAACGUCCGUCGUGAAGAGGGAAACAACCCAGACCGCCAGCUAAGGUCCCAAAGUCAUGGUUAAGUGGGAAACGAUGUGGGAAGGCCCAGACAGCCAGGAUGUUGGCUUAGAAGCAGCCAUCAUUUAAAGAAAGCGUAAUAGCUCACUGGUCGAGUCGGCCUGCGCGGAAGAUGUAACGGGGCUAAACCAUGCACCGAAGCUGCGGCAGCGACACUGUGUGUUGUUGGGUAGGGGAGCGUUCUGUAAGCCUGUGAAGGUGUACUGUGAGGUAUGCUGGAGGUAUCAGAAGUGCGAAUGCUGACAUAAGUAACGAUAAAGCGGGUGAAAAGCCCGCUCGCCGGAAGACCAAGGGUUCCUGUCCAACGUUAAUCGGGGCAGGGUGAGUCGACCCCUAAGGCGAGGCCGAAAGGCGUAGUCGAUGGGAAACAGGUUAAUAUUCCUGUACUUGGUGUUACUGCGAAGGGGGGACGGAGAAGGCUAUGUUGGCCGGGCGACGGUUGUCCCGGUUUAAGCGUGUAGGCUGGUUUUCCAGGCAAAUCCGGAAAAUCAAGGCUGAGGCGUGAUGACGAGGCACUACGGUGCUGAAGCAACAAAUGCCCUGCUUCCAGGAAAAGCCUCUAAGCAUCAGGUAACAUCAAAUCGUACCCCAAACCGACACAGGUGGUCAGGUAGAGAAUACCAAGGCGCUUGAGAGAACUCGGGUGAAGGAACUAGGCAAAAUGGUGCCGUAACUUCGGGAGAAGGCACGCUGAUAUGUAGGUGAAGUCCCUCGCGGAUGGAGCUGAAAUCAGUCGAAGAUACCAGCUGGCUGCAACUGUUUAUUAAAAACACAGCACUGUGCAAACACGAAAGUGGACGUAUACGGUGUGACGCCUGCCCGGUGCCGGAAGGUUAAUUGAUGGGGUCAGCGCAAGCGAAGCUCUUGAUCGAAGCCCCGGUAAACGGCGGCCGUAACUAUAACGGUCCUAAGGUAGCGAAAUUCCUUGUCGGGUAAGUUCCGACCUGCACGAAUGGCGUAAUGAUGGCCAGGCUGUCUCCACCCGAGACUCAGUGAAAUUGAACUCGCUGUGAAGAUGCAGUGUACCCGCGGCAAGACGGAAAGACCCCGUGAACCUUUACUAUAGCUUGACACUGAACAUUGAGCCUUGAUGUGUAGGAUAGGUGGGAGGCUUUGAAGUGUGGACGCCAGUCUGCAUGGAGCCGACCUUGAAAUACCACCCUUUAAUGUUUGAUGUUCUAACGUGGACCCGUGAUCCGGGUUGCGGACAGUGUCUGGUGGGUAGUUUGACUGGGGCGGUCUCCUCCUAAAGAGUAACGGAGGAGCACGAAGGUUGGCUAAUCCUGGUCGGACAUCAGGAGGUUAGUGCAAUGGCAUAAGCCAGCUUGACUGCGAGCGUGACGGCGCGAGCAGGUGCGAAAGCAGGUCAUAGUGAUCCGGUGGUUCUGAAUGGAAGGGCCAUCGCUCAACGGAUAAAAGGUACUCCGGGGAUAACAGGCUGAUACCGCCCAAGAGUUCAUAUCGACGGCGGUGUUUGGCACCUCGAUGUCGGCUCAUCACAUCCUGGGGCUGAAGUAGGUCCCAAGGGUAUGGCUGUUCGCCAUUUAAAGUGGUACGCGAGCUGGGUUUAGAACGUCGUGAGACAGUUCGGUCCCUAUCUGCCGUGGGCGCUGGAGAACUGAGGGGGGCUGCUCCUAGUACGAGAGGACCGGAGUGGACGCAUCACUGGUGUUCGGGUUGUCAUGCCAAUGGCACUGCCCGGUAGCUAAAUGCGGAAGAGAUAAGUGCUGAAAGCAUCUAAGCACGAAACUUGCCCCGAGAUGAGUUCUCCCUGACCCUUUAAGGGUCCUGAAGGAACGUUGAAGACGACGACGUUGAUAGGCCGGGUGUGUAAGCGCAGCGAUGCGUUGAGCUAACCGGUACUAAUGAACCGUGAGGCUUAACCUUACAACGCCGAAGGUGUUUUG
rnacentral:rRNA from 1 species